UAGCAUUUAUUAGAGUGAAAACCAAUGCAGUCUUCGGGCUGCUAUUGUGUUGAGUCAUAAUAACAGUGCGGAUCGCACUUCUGUGCGAUAAAUCGAUUGAGUUUCUGCCCUAUCAGCUUUGGACGAUAGGAUAUGGGCCUACCAUGGCAUUAACGCGUAACGGGGAAUUAGGGUUUGAUUCCGGAGAGGGAGCCUUAGAAACGGCUACCACAUCCAAGGAAGGCAGCAGGCGCGUAAAUUACCGCAAUCCUGAUACAGGGAGGCAGUGACAAUAAAUAACAAUGCUCUGGCUCUUCGAGUCGGGCAAUUGGAAUGAGAACAAUUUAAAUCCCUUAACCAGGAUCAAUUGGAGGGCAAGUCUGGUGCCAGCAGCCGCGGCAAUUCCAGCUCCAAUAGCGUAUAUUAAAGUUGUUGCAAAUAAAAAGCUCGAACUUGGAUUUCUGGCUUGAGCGCCCGGUCCGCUUCCUCUCGGAAGUGUGUACUAAGGAUGUUUGAGCCAUUUUUUCUGAGGAUGUUCUUCUGCCAUUAAGUUGGUGGACGAAUGCACGGGCAUCCUUUACUGUGAAAAAAUUAGAAUGUGUAAAGCUAGGCGUUUGCUCAUUGAAUACAUCAGCAGGGAAUAAUAAGAUAAGACCUUGGCGGUGUAUUCUGUUGGUUAUGCACACGAAGAUAAUGAUGAAUAGGGACAGCUGGGGGGUAUUCAUAUAUUCAACGUCAGAGGUGAAGACUCUUGGAUCGCUAAAAACGAUGAGCUUAGGAUGAAAGUCAUUUACUCAACGAUGUUAUUCAUUAAUCAACGAACGACAAGUCAGGGAGCAUCGCAAGAUGCAUUAG
rnacentral:rRNA from 1 species